UGAAGUCUAGGAAAACAGUUCCUUCAUUUCGUGAAUGGAUACGGUUCCGGUGCAGUGAACUGAACACUCUGAAUAUCUAUGGAACAAUCUACCUUCUUGCCGCUUUGGCCUGAUAGUCUAGUAUUUUUGGUUCAAUAGAGCUGUGGCUUCUAAGCUCCCUGAGAUUCCUUGUUUCUAUACAGCAUGUAUAGAAUGAGGCUUGGCCAAUCCCCAUCCAGAUCUUCAUCCCUCCCAUUGUGCCUGAGGCUGUGACUUCAUCACCUAGGAGGUGAGACAGCCUGGGGCAGAGAAUUCUGUGUCUUCCCUCAGAUCUCAAUGGCGGAAGUUGAACCCGGGGCCAAUUUACUCCCAAAUGGUGUUCCUUGGCUCUACGCCCUGUUUGCUAUGCUUUUUGUAUUUUUUCUCUUUGUCAUGUUCUCUCCCUUUUUACUUGAGAUUGAACAGUAUAUAAAGAAAUGCUGCCCUCUGGAGUCUCCAAGGAGAGACGUUCUGGGAAGGAAGGAAGACAGGAUGAGAAAAGAUCCCUCUCUACUUGUGAGGGUAUCAAGGGAUUCUGAGGCUGACAUCUGCACCCCUGGGCCAUCAGUUUGAGAGUGGCUGAGCCUGUAAGGAAUCACCUGUGGCAUCGUAUUCCAGACAUGAGAGGGCUUCUGAGUCCUUCAUUAUGUAUGUUUAUACUGAAAAAAAAAAAAAAAAGAGAGAGAGAGAGAGAAAGAUAAUAAAUAUUUUGAGACUCUCAGAAAA